UACGAAGGGGGCUAGCGUUGCUCGGAAUCACUGGGCGUAAAGCGCACGUAGGCGGGUCGUUAAGUCGGGGGUGAAAUCCUGGAGCUCAACUCCAGAACUGCCUUCGAUACUGGCGAUCUUGAGUCUGGGAGAGGUGAGUGGAACUCCGAGUGUAGAGGUGAAAUUCGUAGAUAUUAGGAAGAACACCAGUGGCGAAGGCGGCUCACUGGCCCGGUACUGACGCUGAGGCGCGAAAGCGUGGGGAGCAAACAGG
rnacentral:rRNA from 1 species